rnacentral:rRNA from 1 species
AGCGCCGGUAAGGUGAUAUGAACCGUUAUAACCGGCGAUACCCGAAUGGGGAAACCCAGUGUGAUUCGUCACACUAUCAUUAACUGAAUCCAUAGGUUAAUGAGGCGAACCGGGGGAACUGAAACAUCUAAGUACCCCGAGGAAAAGAAAUCAACCGAGAUUCCCCCAGUAGCGGCGAGCGAACGGGGAGGAGCCCAGAGCCUGAAUCAGCAUGUGUGUUAGUGGAAGCGUCUGGAAAGGCGCGCGAUACAGGGUGACAGCCCCGUACACAAAAGCGCAUGUGCUGUGAGCUCGAUGAGUAGGGCGGGACACGUGGUAUCCUGUCUGAAUAUGGGGGGACCAUCCUCCAAGGCUAAAUACUCCUGACUGACCGAUAGUGAACCAGUACCGUGAGGGAAAGGCGAAAAGAACCCCGGCGAGGGGAGUGAAAAAGAACCUGAAACCGUGUACGUACAAGCAGUGGGAGCACCCUUUGGGUGUGACUGCGUACCUUUUGUAUAAUGGGUCAGCGACUUAUAUUCUGUAGCAAGGUUAACCGAAUAGGGGAGCCGGAGGGAAACCGAGUCUUAACCGGGCGUUAAGUUGCAGGGUAUAGACCCGAAACCCGGUGAUCUAGCCAUGGGCAGGUUGAAGGUUGGGUAACACUAACUGGAGGACCGAACCGACUAAUGUUGAAAAAUUAGCGGAUGACCUGUGGCUGGGGGUGAAAGGCCAAUCAAACCGGGAGAUAGCUGGUUCUCCCCGAAAGCUAUUUAGGUAGCGCCUCGUGAAUUCAUCUCCGGGGGUAGAGCACUGUUUCGGCUAGGGGGCCAUCCCGGCUUACCAACCCGAUGCAAACUGCGAAUACCGGAGAAUGUUAUCACGGGAGACACACGGCGGGUGCUAACGUCCGUCGUGAAGAGGGAAACAACCCAGACCGCCAGCUAAGGUCCCAAAGUCAUGGUUAAGUGGGAAACGAUGUGGGAAGGCCCAGACAGCCAGGAUGUUGGCUUAGAAGCAGCCAUCAUUUAAAGAAAGCGUAAUAGCUCACUGGUCGAGUCGGCCUGCGCGGAAGAUGUAACGGGGCUAAACCAUGCACCGAAGCUGCGGCAGCGACACUGUGUGUUGUUGGGUAGGGGAGCGUUCUGUAAGCCUGUGAAGGUGUGUCGUGAGGCAUGCUGGAGGUAUCAGAAGUGCGAAUGCUGACAUAAGUAACGAUAAAGCGGGUGAAAAGCCCGCUCGCCGGAAGACCAAGGGUUCCUGUCCAACGUUAAUCGGGGCAGGGUGAGUCGACCCCUAAGGCGAGGCCGAAAGGCGUAGUCGAUGGGAAACGGGUUAAUAUUCCCGUACUUGGUGUUACUGCGAAGGGGGGACGGAGAAGGCUAUGUUGGCCGGGCGACGGUUGUC